rnacentral:sRNA from 1 species
AUCUAGCCCCGAUAAAACUGACAUCCUUUUGUGCCGGGGUUCGGCGCAAAAGAUAUAGGGGAUAGCGGGAUGUCAG